CCGCUGCGUGGGGCCCGAGGGCGGGCAAGUGUUGUGUACGAAGGCCACCGGCGAGGUGCUGCUCAGCCGGGAUGGAGGCCGCCUCCUGGAGGCGCUGCACUUAGAGCAUCCCUUAGCCAGGACCACGUUAAGGUAUGUAUUGUUGGUUUCCAAUGGGAAGAACGUAAAUUUCCAAGAAUUGAAAUAUCAACUGAAACUAAGUUGACAUCCAGAAUGCUGCCAUCUCAAACAAGUUGAUGUCUUUGAUCCUGUUGUGUCUGUUAAACAUUUGGAUGACCAUGAGCAGACCUAUCAUGCUAUUCCUAUUACUGCUGGAAGCCAUGUUGAUGCCGGGGUUCUUUCUUGCCCAUGGAUCUGAUGUUGAUGUCUAUCAUCUGUCCUGCUCUCUGUGACAAUGUUGAUGUGAGAGUUCUGUGUUGCCAACAUGAAAAAUGUUCCUUUCCCUGAUCUAAACUAUCAUUGAAAACCAUGUUGCUGUCCAUUCUACAUGCUGCCACCUGAAACCAUGUGAAUUUAAUUGAUCCCUGCUGCCUCUGUUCACCAUAUGAAUGUCCAUGAUCAGAUUAUAAUGCUAUUCCUACUACUUCUGGAAACAGUGUUGAUGCUCAUGAUCUUCUUACCACUGGACACCAGGUUGAUUCUAUGAUCUCUCCUGCUACCUGUGACCAUGUUAAGGUAAGUGUUGCUUGUUGCCAAUGUGUAGAAUGUUAAUUCCCAAGAUUUAACCAAGCAAUGGUAACUAAGCAGAUACACAGAAUUCAUGCUGUCGCCUGCAACCAUGCUGCUGCCUCUGUUAACCCUGUAGAUGUCUAUCAAUGGACCUCUAAUGCGUUCCUAUUGGUUCUAAAGCCAUGUUGAUGCAUGUGGUCCUUGUUUCCAUGGGAGAACAUCUUGAUGGCCAUGACCUCUCUAUCUCCUUAGGACCAUGUUAGGUAAAUAUUGUUUCCAACAUAAAGAAUGUAAGUUUCCAGGAAUUGAAAUAUCAGCUGGAACUAAGUUGACACCGGAAUGUAUGCUGCCAUCUCAAACAAGUUGAUGUCAUUGAUCCCUGCUGCCUCUGUUAACCAUGUUGAUGUCUAUGAUCAGAACUUCCAUGCUAUUCCUAUUGGUUCCGGAAGCCAUGUUGAUGCCCAUCAUGCCACUUGUUACUACUGGAAAACAUCUUGAUAUGGAUGACCUGUCUGGAUACUGGUGACUACAUUAAGGUAAAUGUUCUGUGUUACCAGUGUGAACAAUGUAAAUUUGCAAGAAUUAAACUACCAUCUGAAACUAAGUUAAUACCCAUAGUUCAUGCUGCUGCCCGCAGACAAGUUGAUGCCAGUGUUCCCUGCGGCCUCCGUUAAACAUUUUGAUAUCCACGAUCGGAUAGUCCAUGGUGUUCCUACUAUUUCUGGGAUCCAUGUCAAUGCCUGUGGUCCUUCUUACUCCUCGAUAGGAAGUUUAUGCCCAUCUUUCCUGCCAUUGUGUUGCCAAUGAGAAAAAUGUCAAUUUUCAAAAUUUAAUCUACAAUCUGAAAAUAAGUUGAUAUCCAUGUUUCAUGCUGCCACCUGCAACCACAUUGAUGUCAUUGAUCCCACAUGCCUCUGUUAACCAGAUUGAUGUCCAACAUAGGACCUACCAUGCUAUUCCCACUAUUUCUGGAAGCCAUGUUGAUGCCUGUGGUCCUUCCUAUCACUGCAUACAUUGUUGAUUUCCAACAUCUCUCCUCUCCUUGUGACCACAUUAAAGUAAGUGUUCUGUGUUGCCAAUAUGCAAAUUGUUAAUUUCCAAGAUUUAACCUACCAUCCAAAAGUAAGAUGAAAUCCAUAAUUCAUGAUGCCUCCUGAAACCAUGUUGAUGUCUUUGAUCCCAAGUGCCUCUGUUAAUCAAAUGGAUGUCCAUUAUGGGAUGGACCUACUAUGCUAUUCCUACUAUUUCUGGAAGCCUUGUUGAUGCUUAUGGUCUUUCUUACCCGUGGAUAUGACAUUGAUGUCCAUCAACUCUUCUGUCACCUGAGACCAUGUUAGUGCAAGAGUUCUCUGUUGCCAUCAUGAUGAGUGUUAAUUUCCGUGAUCUCAGCUACCAUGUGAACUAUGUUGAUAUCUGUAGUACAUGCUGCCACCUGUAACUUUGUUGAUAUCACUGCUGCCUGCUGCCUCCUUUUCCAUGUUGAUGUCUAUCAUGAGCCUUACCAUGCCAAUCCUGUUGGUUUGAAGGCCAUGUUGAUGCCUUGUGUUACGUUUUGCUCUUGGAUAAGAUGCUGAUGUUGAUGGUCUGUCCUGCCACCCAAGACCAUGUUGAGUUGUGGAUGCCUGUGGUCCUUGGUACCCCUGGAUAUGAUGUUGAUGUUGAUGUUCUGUCCUGACUCCUGAGUCCAUGCUGAGCAUUUUCUCAACAUAAAGUUAAGUGUUUGAAGUAAAGGGGAAGAUGUUUGAGGCAGGAUAUCAUUUGACAAAUGAUAAACAGAGAAAAACUGGAAGACUACCAGAAUGAACAUAAAAUACAGGACCGUAUGAAGCAACAAAAAGAAAGGAAAGAAGUGUAAGAGACAUAGAACAAGAAAAACAUACAGAUAUGAACAUUAACUGUAAGUUCAUGGGAAGCUGUGUAUAGCACUUUUACUUGGAAGAGAUUAUUUAAAAAUCUAGAUUUUUGAUGUCAGAAAAAAUUUUCAAAUGACAAAAUUGAUAUUGUAUAUAAAAUCAUAAAAGAUGGCAUAUUGUAUGUUCAUAUCACAUUUUGCUCUGUUACAUUUAUCCUUUUGAAAAGCACUGACAAUGUUAACAAUAACAAAAGGUAGCUAAAACUGAAGUAAUAUGAGUACUAAAGAAUGUCCAUGAUGCCAGCUGCCACCAGCAACCUUGUUGUUAUCCUGAUCCAUGGUACAGUGGGCACCAGGGUGAUGUCCAUGAUCCAAGCUUCCACCAAAACACAUGGAGAUGUCCUUGGUCCAUACUGCUGCUAGACACCAUGUUUGUGUCCUUGAUCAGGGCCCCUCCCAAAGACCAUGUUGAUGUCCGUUAUCCUAACUACCAUCCAAACUAUGCUGAUGUCACUGAUCUUUGCUGCUGCUGCAUGUUGAUGCCCAUAGUUCCUGUUGCCACCAGAGACCAUGUAAUGUCCAGGGUACAUACUGAUUCUCUAAACCAUGUUGAUACCCUUGGUCCUUGCUACCAAUGCAGAGGAGGUUGAUUUUCCUGGUUCAUGCUUCUUCCAGUAACUAUGUUGAUCUGACUGAUCCUUGCUACUUCUAUAAUGAUGUUGCUACUAGGAUUCAAGGUGUCACACAAAACUAUGUUGAUGUCACUGGUCCCUGUUGCCUCUGUUAACAAUGCUGAUAUCCAUGAUCCAACCUGUCAUGCUGUCCCUAAUGUUUCUGGAAUCCAUGUUGAUGCCUGUGGUCCUUGUUGCCCCUGGAUAUGAUGUUGAGGUCCAAGCUCUGUUCUACCAGCUGAGACCAAAUUGAUGCAGGAGUUCUUUGUUGCCAAUAUGAAGAAUGUUGAUUUAUUUUAUCCGAACUGUCAUCUGAAAUUAAGUUGAUAUCUAGGAUCCAUGCUGACAAUGGCAACCAUGUAGAUGUCCCAAAUCUUUGCUGCCUCAGUUAACCAUGCUGAUAUACAUGAUCCAACCUACCAUGCUAUCCUUACUGAUUCUGGAAGUCGUGUGGAUGCCUGUGGUCCUUGUUGCUCCUGGAAAUGAUGUUGAUAACCAAGAUCUGUGCUGCCAUGUGAGACCAUGUUGAUGGAAGUGUUCAUUGCUGCCAACAUGAAGAAUGUUAAUUUUCAUGAUUUAUCCUACCAUCACAAACUAAGUGGAUAUCCAUAUUUCAUGCUGUCUACUACAACCGAGAUGAUGUCAUUGAUCCAUGCUGCCUCUGUAUAACAUGAUGUCCAUGAUCAAACAUACCAUGCUCUUCCUGUUGCUUCUGGAAUCCAUGCUGAUGCCUGUGGUCCUCCUUAAAACUGAAUACCAUGUUAAUUUUCUGGAUCUCUCCUGCUACCUGUGACUAUGGUAAAGUAAGUGUUGUGCAUUGGCAACAUGAAGGAUGCUCAUUUCUGUGAUUUCACCUAUAAUCCAAACUAUGUAUAGAUCCUUAUUUCAUACUGCAACCAUGUUGAUUUCAGUGACCAUUGCUGCCUGUGUUAACCAUGUUGUUGUCCACAAAUGGACACAUAAUGCUAUUGCUAUUGCUUCUGGAAGCCAUGAUGAUGACCUUGGACCAUGUUACCACUGACUUAAAUUUCCAUGAUCUCUUGCCAUUGUGACCAUAUAAAGGAAGUUUUCUGUGUUGAAUGUGAAGAAUAUUGCUUUCUGAUACUUAACCCACCAUUCAAAAGUAAGUUGAUACCCAAACGAUCUGCAACCAUGUUGAUAUCAUUCAGCCCUGCUACCUCUGUUUACCUUGUUGAUGUCUAUGAAUGGACAUACCUUACGGUUCCUAAUACUUCAGGAAGCCAUGUUGAUCAAGUGGUCCUCAUUACCAUAGGAUAAUGUGUUUAUUGCAAUAACCUCUCCAGCCCUUAUAUUCAUAUUAAGAUAAUGGUUCUCUAUUGCCAACAUGAAGAAUGUAAAUUUCCAAGAAAUGAAAUACCCAGUGAAACUAUGUUGUUAUCCAGAAAACAUACUGCCACCUCAACCAAGUUGAUGUCAUUGAUCCUUGCUUUGUCUGUUAAACAUGUGGAUGUACAUGAGCAGACCUACAUGCUAUCCUAUUAUUUCUGGAAGCCAUGUUGAGCCAGGGUUUUUCUUGCCCAUUGAUCUGAUGUUGAAGUCCAUCAUCUGUCCUGCCACCUGAGACCAUGUUGAUGCAAGAGUUCUGUGUUGCCAACGUGAUGAAUGUUAAUUUCCCUGAUCUCAACUACCGUAUGAAGCUAUGCUGCUAUCCAUUCUACAUGCUGUCACCUGAAACCAUGUGGAUUUAAUUGAUCCCUACUGCCUCUGUUCACCAUAUGGAUGUCCAUGAUCAGAUGAUAAUGCUAUUCCUACUACUUCUGGAAGCAGUGUUGAUGCUCAUGAUCUUCUUACCACUGGACACCAGGUUGAUUCUAUGAUCUCUCCUGCUACCUGUGACCAAGUCAAGGUAAGUGUUCCUUAUUGCCAAUGUGUAGAAUCUUAUUUCCCAAGAUUUAACCAAGCAUUGGUAAGUAAGCUGAUACACAUAAUUCAUGCUGUCGCCUGCACCUUGCUGCUGCCCCUGUUAACCCUGUUGAUGUCCAUCAAUGGACCUCUAAUGCAUUCCUGUAAUCCAUGUUGAUGCAAGUGGUCCUUGUUACCAUGGGAUAACAUCUGGAUGGCCAUGACCUCUCUGGCCCUUUAUGACCAUAUUAAGGUAAUUGUUCUGUGCUGCCAUCGUGAAGAAUGUAAAUUUCUAAGAACUGAAAUACCAGCUGAAACUAAGUUGAAAUCCAGAAUGCAUCCUGCCACCUCCCAACAAGUUGAUGCCAUUGAUCCCUGCUGCCUUUGUUAAACAUAUGGAUGUCCAUGAGUGGACCUACCAUGCUAUUUCUACUAUUUUGGAAGUCAUGUUGAUGAGGGUUCUUUCUUGCUCAUGGAUCUGAUGUUGAAGUCUGUCAUUCACCCUGUAAGCUGAGACCACGUAGAUGCAAGAGUUCUGUGUUGCCAACAUGAAGAAUGUUAAUUUUAUGAUCACAACUACCAGCAAAACCAUGUUGCUAUCCAUUCUACAUGAUGCUGCCUGAAACCAUGUGGAUUUAAUUGAUCCUUGCUGUCUGUUAACCAUUUGGAUGUCCAUGAUCAGAACUACAAAGCUGCUACUUCUGGAAGCAAUGUUGAUGCUCAUGUUCUUGUUACCACUGGACACCAGGUUGAUUGUCAUGAUCUCUCCUGUUAUGUGUGAUCAUAUUAAGGUAAGUGUUCCCUUUUGGCAAUGUGUAGAAUGGUAAUUCCCAAGAUUUAACCACGUGUUGAUAACUAAGCAGAUAUCCAUAAUUCAUGCUGCCACCUGUACCCACACUGAUGCCAUUGAUCCCUGCCUCUGUUAACCCUAUUGAUGUCUAUGAAUGGACCUCUCAUGCAUUCCUAUUGGUUCAGUAAUCCAUGUUGAUGCAUAUGGUCCAUUUUACCACUGGAUAGUGUCCUGAUUGCUAAAAACUCUCUGUCCCCAUAUGACCAUAUUUGGGUAAGUGUUCUAUGUUACAAAUGUCAAGAAUGUAAAUUUCUAAGAAUUGAUCUACCAACUGAAACUAGUAUGAUCUCCGGAAUGCAUGCUGUCACCUCUGAACAAAUUGAUGUCAUUGAUCCCUGCCAUGAAACAUUUGGAUGUCCAGGAGCUAUCCUACGAUGCUAUUCCUACUAUUUCUGGAAGCCAUGUUGAUGCCAGGGUUCUUUUUUGCCCAUGGGUUUGAUGUUGAUUUUCAUCAUCUGUCCUGUUACCUGAGACCAUGUUGAUUCAAGAGUUCCAUCUUGCCAAUAUGAAGAGUGUUGAUUUCCCUACUGACAGCUACUAGCAUCUUAAACUAUGUUGCUGUCCAUUCUACAUGCUAUCACCUGAAACCAUGUGGUUUAAUUGAUCCCUGCUGCCUCUGUAAACCGUAUGGAUGUCCAUGACUGGAACUAGAGUGCUAUUCCUACUAUUUCUGGAAGCAGUGUGAUACUCACUGUUUUCUAAACCAUUGGAUACCAGGUGGAUUUCCAUGAUCUCUCCUGCUAUGAGUGACCAUGUUAAGGUAAGUGUUCCUUGUUGCCAGUGUAUAGAAUGGUAAUUCCCAAGAUUUAACAAGCAGUGGUAACUAAGCUGAUAUCCAUAAUUCGUGCUGCCACUUCCUACCAUGCUGCUGCCGUUGAUCCCUGCUGCCUCUGUUAACCUGCUGAUGUCCAUCAAUGGACCUCCCAUGCAUUCCUAUUGGUUCUAAAGCCAUGUUGAUGCAUGUGGUCCUUGUUUCCAUGGGAGAACAUCUUGAUGGCCAUGACCUCUCCUUUUCCUUAGGACCAUCUUAAGGUAAAUAUUAUUUGUUUACAAUGUGAAGAGUUUAAGUUUCCAAGAAUUGAAAUAUCAGCUGAAACUAAGUUGAUAUUGGAAUGCAUGCUGCCAUCUCGAACAAGUUGAUGUCUUCUAUCCUUGCUGUGUCUGUUAAACAUUUGGAUGACCAUGAGCAGACCUAUCAUGCUAUUCCUAUUAUUUCUGGAAGCCAUGUUAAUUCCAGGAUUCAUUCUUGCCCAUGGAUCUGAUAUUGAUGUCCAUCAUCUGUCCUGUUACCUGAGACCAUGUUGAUGCGAGAGUUCUGUGUUGCCAACGUGAAGAAUGUUAAUUGCCCUGAUCUCAGCUACCAUCUAAACUAUGUUUCUGUCCAUUCUACAUACUGCCACUUGUGAUCAUGAGGAUUUAAUCGAUCCCUGCUGCCUCUGUUAACCAUAUGGAUGUCCAUGAUCAGAACUAGAGUGCUAUUCCUACUACUUCUGGAAGCAAUGCGAUACUCAGGAUCUUCUUACCACUGGACACCAGGUUGAUUUUUAUGAUCACUCCUGCUACUAGUCACCACCUUAAGGUUCCUUGUUACCAAUGUGUAGAAUGGUAAUUUCCAAGACUAACCAACUGUUGGUAACUAAGUUGAUAUGCAUAAUUCAUGCUGCCACCUGCCCCCAUGCUGAUGUCAUUGAUUAGUGCUGCCUCUGCAAACCCUGUUGAUAUUAAUGAAGGGAUCUCCCAUGCAUUCUUAUUGCUUCUGCAAGCCAUUUUGAUGCAUGUGGUCCUUUUUACAAUGGGAUAACAUCUUGAUUGCCAUGAAUUCUCCACCCCUAUGACUGUAUUAAGGUAAGUGUUCUCUGUUGCCAAUGUGAAGAAUGUAAUUUCCAAGAAUUGAAAUACCAACUGAAACUAGUAUGAUAUCCUGAAUACAUGCUGCUACCUCCACACAAGUUGAUGUCAUUGAUCCCUGCUGACUCUGUUAAUCAUAUGGAUGUCCAUGAUCAGAACUACAAAGCUAUUCCUACUGCUUCUGGAAGCGGUGUUGAUGCUCAUGAUCUUCUUACCACUGGACACCAGGUUGAUUUCCAUGAUCUCUCCUGCUACCAAGUCAAGGUAAGUGUUCCUUGUUGCCAAUGUGUAGAAUGGUAAUUCCCAAGACUUAAUGAACCUUUGAUAACUUAGCAGAUAUUCAUAAUUCAUGCUGCCACCUGCACCCAUGCUGAUGCCAUUGAUCCCUGAUGCCUCUGUUAACCCUGUUAAUGUCUAUGAAUGGACUCUCAUGCAUUCCUGUUGGUUCUAAAGCCAUGUUGAUGUAUGUAGUCCUUGUUUCCAUGGGAUAAUAUUUUGAUUGCCUUGACCUCUCUGGCCCCUUAUAACCAUAUUAAUGUAAGUGUUCUGUGUUGCCAACAUGAGGAAUGUAAAUUUCCAAGAACAGAAAUACAAACCAAAACUAAGUUGAUAUCCAGAAUGCAUGCUGUCACCUCUAAACAUGUUGAUGUCAUUGAUCCCUCUGCUGCCUCUAGUAACCAUUUUGAUGUCCAGGAACAGACCUCCCAUGGUAUUUCUAGCAUUUCUGGAAGCCAUGUCGAUGACUGUGGUCCUUCUGGCCCCUAUAUUCCAUAAAGAUUUCCUUGAUAUCUCUUGCCAACUUUGACAAUGUUAAUUAAGUGUUCUGUGCUGUCAAUGUAAAGAACAUAAAUUUCCAAGAACUCAACAUCCAACCGAAACUAAGUUGAUAUCCAGAAUGCAUGGUGCCACCUCCAAACAUGUUGAAGUCAUUGAUCCCUCCUGCCUCUAUUAGACACGUUGAUGUUUAUGAUUGGAAUUAUAGUGAUAUUCCUAUCACAUUUGGAAUCCACGAUGAUGCCCAUUGUUUUUGUACCAGUAGAUACCAUUUUGAUUCCCAUGAUCUCUCCUGCUGUCUUUGACCUUGUUAAAUUAUGUAUUCUGUGCUGCCAACAUGAAGAAUGUUAAGUUCCAAGAUUUAACCAUUGAAAUGUUAAUUUCCAAGAUUUCAUCAAUCUUGAAAACUAAUUUUAUAUCAACAAUUCCUGGUGUCACCUGCAUCCAUGGUCAUUUUAUUGAUUCCUGCUGCCUCUGUUAACCAUGUUGAUGUCUAUGAUCAGAACUUCCAUGGUAUUCCUAUUGGUUCCAGAAGCCAUGUUGAUGCCCAUCAUGCCACUUGUUACCACUGGAAAACAUCUUGAUAUGGAUGACCUGUCUGGACACUUGUGACUAUAUUAAGGUAAAUGUUCUGUGUUACCAGUGUGAACAAUGUAAAUUUGCAAGAAUUAAACUACCAUCUGAAACUAAGUUAAUACCCAUAGUUCAUGCUGCUGCCCGCAGACAAGUUGAUGCCAGUGUUCCCUGCGGCCUCCGUUAAACAUUUUGAUAUCCACGAUCGGAUAGUCCAUGGUGUUCCUACUAUUUCUGGGAUCCAUGUCAAUGCCUGUGGUCCUUCUUACUCCUCGAUAGGAAGUUUAUGCCCAUCUUUCCUGCCAUUUUAUUGCUAAUGAGAAAAAUGUCAAUUUUCAAAAUUUAAUCUACAAUCUGAAAAUAAGUUGAUAUCCAUGUUUCAUGCUGCCACCUGCAACCACAUUGAUGUCAUUGAUCCCACAUGCCUCUGUUAACCAGAUUGAUGUCCAACAUAGGACCUACCAUGCUAUUCCCACUAUUUCUGGAAGCCAUGUUGAUGCCUGUGGUCCUUCCUACCACUGCAUACAUUGUUGAUUUCCAAGAUCUCUCCUCUCCUUGUGACCACAUUAAUGUAAGUGUCUUUGUUGUCAAUAUGCAAAUUAAUUUCCAAGAUUUAACCCACCAUCCAAAAGUAAGAUGAAAUCCAUAAUUCAUGAUGUCACCUGAAACCAUGUUUGAUCCCAAGUGCCUCUGUUAAUCAAAUGGAUGUCCAUUAUGGGAUGGACCUACUAUGCUAUUCCUACUAUUUCUGGAAGCCUUGUUGAUGCUUGUGAUCUUUCUUACCCAUGGAUAUGACAUUGAUGUCCAUCAACUCUUCUGUCACCUGAGACCAUGUUGAUGCAAGAGUUCUGUGUUGCCAUCAUGAUGAGUGUUAAUUUCUGUGAUCUCAGCUACCAUCUGAACUAUGUUGAUAUCGAUAGUACAUGCUGCCACCUGUAACUUCAUUGAUGUUCCUGCUGCCUGCUGCCUCCUUUUCCAUGUUGAUGUCUAUCAUGAGCCUUACCAUGCCAUUCCUGUUGGUUUGAAGGCCAUGUUGAUGCCUUGUGUUACAUUUUGCUCUUGGAUAAGAUGCUGAUGUUGAUGGUCUGUUCUGCCACCUAAGACCAUGCUGAGGUAAGUUUUCUGUGUUGCCAACAUGAAGAAUAUUGAUUUCUAUGAGUUGCCCUAUGGUCUGAACCUAAGUUGAUAUCUGUAAUUCAUUCUGUCCUUGAACCAUGUUGAUAUCACUGAUCCUUGCUCCUUUGUUCAUCAUGUUGAUUACCACGAUCUGACCGACCGUGCUAUCCCUACUGCUUCUGGAAGCUGUGGAUGCCUGUGGUCCCCGGUGCCCUUGAUGUCAAUGUUCAGUCCUGACUCCUGAAUCCAUGCUGAGACCACCAUAUUGAUGUCACUGAUCCUUGCUGCAUGUUUUAACUAUGGUGAUAUCCAUGAUCCAACCCUCCAUUCAAAACUUUGGUGAUGUCACAGAUCCUUCUGACUUCUGAGACCAUGUGGUUGUCCUUGUUCCAUCCUGACACCAGCAACCAUGCUGUCCCUCCUCUGUGCUGCCGCUGUUAACCAUGUUGGUGUCUGGGGUUUGAUCUGCCCCCCAGGCUGUGUUGACAUCGCUGAUUUGUACUGUCACUGGCGAACAUUUUGACAUCUCUGAUCCUUGCUGCCUGUUAGCUAUGUUGCUAGCCCAUGAUCUGCCCUACCACUCAAUCCCUGCUGUUUCCGGAAGCCACGGUGAUGCCUGUGGUCCUUGUUGCCCCUGGAUACGAUGUUGAUGUCCAUGUUCUGUCCUGCCACCUGAGACCACACUGAGGAAAUCAUGUUGAUGUCACUGUUCCUUGCUGCAUCUUCUAACCACGUUGAUCCAACCUACCGUCCAAAACUUUGUUGAUGUUACCGAUCUGUUGACAUCUGUGUUCUGUGCUGCCACCCAAAACCACGCUGGUGUUCAUGGUCUGGACUGCAUGUUGAAGACCAGUUGGAUAUCCAUGACUCAGAUUCUGAUGGAGACUGUGUUGUCAUCUGUGGUCAGUACUGCCACAAGAAGGCAUCCUGGUGUUAGUGAUCAGUGAUGCCUCCCGCAAACAUGUUAUGUUGGUGAUCUGUGUCGAAGUUAGGGACCAGAUGGAUGUCAGUUAUCCAAGCUGUCACCAGAAAUCUUGAGGACCAUGACCUGUGCUGCUGCUGGAAAGCAUGUGGACGUCCGUGAUCUGUACUGCCACUGACAUUUCUUGUCAAAGAAGCUUCUUUUGUAGUAGUAUCCAUGGCUGCAGAAUCAUAACUGAAACGACGACAUCGAAGGCUUCUGUGCCACCCUCUCCAAAAGAAACACUCUAGACAGGACCUUACUGAAGAGAGCCCUUGAAAAUUGUAAUAAAGAUGCUUAAUUGUA